rnacentral:rRNA from 1 species
UACGUAGGGGGCUAGCGUUGUCCGGAAUCAUUGGGCGUAAAGCGCGUGUAGGCGGCCCGGUAAGUCCGCUGUGAAAGUCGGGGGCUCAACCCUCGAAAGCCGGUGGAAACUGUCGGGCUCGAGUGCGGAAGAGGCGAGUGGAAUUCCUGGUGUAGCGGUGAAAUGCGCAGAUAUCAGGAGGAACACCGAUUGCGAAGGCAGCUCGCUGGGACGCCACUGACGCUGAGACGCGAAAGCGUGGGGAGCAAACAGG